CAUAGGAAUACAUGAAAAAACUAAGUUACUCCUCUUAAUUUGGCUCAAAUUUAAAGACUGUAAAUCUUUGCUUUACAUGAUGAGUCUCAACUUCCUUCUGCUUUUAGUAAUAUUCUUAGUAUUGCCCACUUUUUCAGCUCAAGCUAUCCCAAAAUGCUGUCUGCAAUACUCCAGAACUAGGUUUCAUCGAGGUUCACUGAAGAGUUACUACAUACAGGAUUCAUCGUUAUGUACCCAACCCGCAGUGAUAUUUACCACAAUCAAAGGCAAGAGAAUCUGUGUUAAUCCCAGCAAGGUAUGGACAAAGACCAGCAUGGCCUACUUGGAUGGAAAGAACUGGUGGCAAAGACAUACUAGUCUAAAGAAGCAUCAGGAAGAUUCGUCACACUGAUUCCUCUGUUGAAACAAAGAUUUUACCCCAUUUUCUUUGCUGUUUGGUUCCAAUAAGUAUCUACUUGUUGUCACAUUCUGUCAGAAUUUAAACAUCUUUUGAAUCUGACUUAAUUAUUUUUUUGUUUUUUUGUGACUCAUGACAAUCAUCUAAACAUUAAUCUCUCCAUGACUGGCCAUGGAUUAAUAUGCAAAUAAAGAUGAUCACAGUA